rnacentral:rRNA from 1 species
UACGGGGGAUGCAAGCGUUGUCCGGAAUCAUUGGGCGUAAAGAGUUCGUAGGUGGUUUGUUAAGUUUGGUGUUAAAGGCUGAGGCUCAACUUCAGUAUGGCACUGGAUACUGGCAGACUAGAAUGCGGUAGAGGUAAAGGGAAUUCCUGGUGUAGCGGUGAAAUGCGUAGAUAUCAGGAGGAACAUCGGUGGCGUAAGCGCUUUACUGGGCCGUAAUUGACACUGAGGAACGAAAGCCGGGGUAGCAAAU